rnacentral:lncRNA from 1 species
UUUUUUUUUUUUUUUUUUUUUUGGACAAUCAUGUCAUCUGCAAAUAGAAGCAGUUUUUGUUCUUCGUAACUGGAAUGCUUUUUCUUUGUUUUUCCUGCCUUAUUGCACUUGGUAUGUCCUCCAGUGUAGUAGCAAAUAGAAGUGGUGAGAGCAGACAUCCUUAUUAGUGAUUUUAGGAGGAAAACAUUCAGUCUUGCACCAUUAGGUAUGAUGCUAACUAGAUUUCUUCGUAGAGGUCGUGGUAGGCAACCUCUGAGAUGGCCCUUAAUGAUCCCUACCUCAUGGUAGUCAUGCCUUUGUAUACUCCACUGCCAUUCAGUGUAGGCUUGACCUAGUGACUUGCUUCUAAGGAAUAAAGUAUGUUUAACAUAAUGGAAUAUCACUUCUGGGAUUUGGUUAUGAAGAGACUAUGAUUUCUGCCUUGAGUACUCUUGUACUCUCUCACUCACUUCCUCUGAGGGAAUCCAGGUGCCAUGUUGUGAGAUGCCCUAUGGCAAGGAAUUGAGGAAGCCAACAGCCAAGAAGACUCAAUCCAGUAUUCUGUGAAGAAUUGAGUCCUGCCAACAACCUUGUGUGUGAGCUUGGAAGUGGAUCUCCCUAUCACCAUCUCUGUUUCCCAACAUAUUUAUUUUUCUACGGUAUCAUCUGACCUGAUGUUCCCAGUAAGAGAAUGAACUCUGGAGCCAGACUGCCUGGGAUCAAAUCCAGCUCUGCUAUGAACCAUCUGUGAGAUACUAAAACUUUCUCUUUGAGAAAGGAGACAAGACGUGGAGUAGAAGGACUUGAGCUCACCUCCUUUCACGAAAACACCAGAAUCACAACUAACAGGUGAACGGUUUGGCAAAAAAAGCCUGGAACCUACCAAAAGAAGAUAUUCUACAUCCAAAGACAAAGAAACCACAAUAAGAUGCUUCACCAAGUGGCAUUUUAUAACUGUGCAGGACAUCUGUUACUUUUAUCAGCCCAGCAUAUUUUUCUCCUUCUUGUCAAAAGCCCGGCAUCUAUUCCUCCUCCUGCUUUGGGUUUCUGCUUCAGCGGGACUAUCAUUCAAGGAGACAACUGUGGGAACUAUCACAGAGCUUCUUAGAAGACCUGGUGGAAUCAAGCUGCUAUUGUCUACACAGCAAGGACUUCAAUAACACAACUUUAUGUUGACCCUUCCCCUUACUUCGUUUUAAUAUCACAAAUCCCUCGCUCCAAUUCUUGGGGGUCUGGGAGGUGCAUCAGGUCAUUUAUUAGUUUAAUCUUUCUAAAAAAUUUUCUCUGGGAGCUUCUGAUAUGCUUCACCACAUUCUGUAUGCUUGGUGUUAUGUCAUCCUUGGAUAUCUCAUCACCGUCAUCCGGGGAAUUUCUUCAUCUCUCUCCUAUGCUGAAUCUUAGUCUUUGCACUUUCGUCUUCAUUUUGCUUGGUUUAUGCCCUUAUUUUUACGAAGCACAUUCUCUAGUAGUUUAUUGAGAAAGACCAUAUGGAGGUAAAGUUUGUGAGACCUUGUACAAAUAAAAAUGUCUUCAUUU